rnacentral:rRNA from 1 species
CGACGUGGGGAACCUGCCCUAUACAGGGGGAUAACAGCUGGAAACGGCUGCUAAUACCGCAUAAGCGCACAGAAUCGCAUGAUUCAGUGUGAAAAGCCCUGGCAGUAUAGGAUGGUCCCGCGUCUGAUUAGCUGGUUGGUGAGGUAACGGCUCACCAAGGCGACGAUCAGUAGCCGGCCUGAGAGAGUGAACGGCCACAUUGGGACUGAGACACGGCCCAAACUCCUACGGGAGGCAGCAUG